UUUACCAACGGAGCGAAACCACCUGAUGGGCGUGAGGUCGCACUCCUCCCCGCCCGUUCCAAUUCCGUCGACGCCAACGCCCCACUCUACUCUCUCCGACGCUGCAACAGAUCCUGGCACCUGCUAUGCCGCCAUGCCCUCAACGUCCGGCUCCGGCGCAGGGAUGAAGGUCAAGGUCGCCGAGCCAUACUUCCACAAGUUAUCCAUGGCUGCUUUUGAUUCCGCCCAGACUAGCUAGUUCAAGAUCAAUUGAGUGCACUGUGGAUCCAUAGUUGCAAAACAAUUCUGGAUAUUUCCUUGGCUUAAUUUCUGUAUAACAAGAGCCCCGCGAGCGAGCUCUCCACCACAAGUAACUGGAAUCGACCGCCGCCUCCCUACCAGAGCGCACAAGUCACCGAAACCUCCAGAUCUAUUCAUGUUCCCGGUGUAGCAGACCUGAAGGUGCCUCACAUGGUUCGGUGAUUUCCUUUUAUCUGUGAACUAUUGUCGUUACUAUAGGAGCAGUCUCGAUUGUUAAAGAUCACCAA